UACGUAGGGACCGAGCGUUGUCCGGAAUCAUUGGGCGUAAAGAGCUCGUAGGCGGCUUGUCGCGUCGUCCGUGAAAACCUGGGGCUCAACCCCAGGCUUGCGGUCGAUACGGGCAGGCUCGAGUUCGGUAGGGGAGACUGGAAUUCCUGGUGUAGCGGUGAAAUGCGCAGAUAUCAGGAGGAACACCGGUGGCGAAGGCGGGUCUCUGGGCCGAUACUGACGCUGAGGAGCGAAAGCGUGGGGAGCGAACAGG
rnacentral:rRNA from 1 species